GUGUUCACUUUGUUAGCACAUAUGCUAAAAUUGGAAUGAUACAGAGAAGAUUAGCAUGACUCCUGCACAAGGAUGACACACGAAUUCAUGAAACAUUCUAUAUUUUC
rnacentral:snRNA from 1 species